CACACACUGUCACUCACAGACACACACACACAGACACACACAGUCACUCACAGACACACACACACUGUCACUCACAGACACACACACACACACAGACACACACUGUCACUCACAGACACACACACUGUCACUCACAGACACACACACUGUCACUCACAGACACACACACACAGUCACUCACAGACACACACACUGUCACUCACAGACACACACACACACACACACACAGACACACACUGUCACUCACAGACACACACACACUGUCACUCACAGACACACACACACACGCAGACACACACUGUCACUCACAGACACACACACACAGUCACACACACACACACAGUCACACACAGACACACAUCACAUGC